rnacentral:rRNA from 1 species
GAAUAUUGCGCAAUGGAGGAAACUCUGACGCAGUGACGCCGCGUAUAGGAAGAAGGUUUUCGGAUUGUAAACUAUUGUCGUGAGGGAAGAAAUUGACAGUACCUCAGGAGGAAGCUCCGGCUAACUAUGUGCCAGCAGCCGCGGUAAUACGUAGGUGGCGAGCGUUAUCCGGAAUGAUUGGGCGUAAAGGGUGCGCAGGCGGUCCUGCAAGUCUGGAGUGAAACGCAUGAGCUCAACUCAUGCAUGGCUUUGGAAACUGGAGGACUGGAGAGCAGGAGAGGGCGGUGGAACUCCAUGUGUAGCGGUAAAAUGCGUAGAUAUAUGGAAGAACACCAGUGGCGAAGGCGGCCGCCUGGCCUGUUGCUGACGCUGAGGCACGAAAGCGUGGGGAGCAAAUAGG